CCCUACGGGGGGCAGCAGUGGGGGAUAUUGCACAAUGGGGGGAACCCUGAUGCAGCGACGCCGCGUGGGUGAAGAAGCGCCUCGGCGCGUAAAGCCCUGUCAGCAGGGAAGAAAAUGACGGUACCUGAAGAAGAAGCCCCGGCUAACUACGUGCCAGCAGCCGCGGUAAUACGUAGGGGGCAAGAGUUAUCCGGAUUUACUGGGUGUAAAGGGGGCGCAGACGGCGAUGCAAGCCAGGAGUGAAAGCCCGGGGCCCAACCCCGGGACUGCUCUUGGAACUGCGUGGCUGGAGUGCAGGAGGGGCG
rnacentral:rRNA from 1 species